rnacentral:rRNA from 1 species
GACGAACGCUGGCGGAGUGCCAAAUACAUGCAAGUAGAACGCAGUUGCGAACGGGUGAGUAACGCGUAGGUAACUGCCUCAUAGCGGGGGAUAACUAUUGGAAACGACAGCUAAUACCGCACACUGUGAGAUGGAUCUGCGUUGUAUUAGCUAGUUGGUGAGGUAAAGGCUCACCAAGGCGACGAUACAUCGCCGACCUGAGAGGGUGAACGUCCACACUGGGAGUGAGACACUGCCCAGACCCCGACGGGAGGAAGCAGUAGGGAAUCUUCGGCAAUGGAAGGAAGUCUGAACGAGCAGCGCCGCGUGAGUGUAGAAGGUUUUCGGAACGUAAAGCUCUGUUGUUACAUGAGCGGUAACUAGCCAGAAAGGGACGUCUAGCUACGUGCCAGCAGCCGCGGUAGUAC